rnacentral:rRNA from 1 species
GAUAUGGCUCAGGACGAACGCUGGCGGCGCGCCUAACACAUGCAAGUCGAACGGUGAAGAGGAGCUUGCUCCUCGGAUCAGUGGCGGACGGGUGAGUAACACGUGAGCAACCUGGCUCUAAGAGGGGGACAACAGUUGGAAACGACUGCUAAUACCGCAUGACGUAUCGGGAUGGCAUCUUCCUGAUACCAAAGAUUUUAUCGCUUAGAGAUGGGCUCGCGUCUGAUUAG